AAACAGGGCUGGGAGCAUCAGGAUAUAGGAUAUAAAGUGCGGGUGGAUGAGGUUGAUCCAGGUGAUUUGAGCAGAAGCUGCUAAAGAAUGAUGAAGACUCUGAUUGUCGUCGUGCUCUUGCUGAGCUUAGCCACCCUUCCUGUCAUUACACAAAGGGGUGCGGCUGAAAAGCCAGAGUGGCAGGGUGACAAUGUUGACCUUGUGAACAUUGACAACUCAGCAAAUGAUGAUCCAUCCAUCAAGCAAUUAAGUGGUCGCAAGAUGAAACCCCCCCCUGGUUAAAAAAACAGAACUGGACAGCUGUGUUGUCAUGACAACGAAGAGCAGCAAAAAGAGCAGCAAAAGGCCAACACAGACCAACGUCUAUCUCAAUGUGACACACGUCACUAUAAUUAUCAUCAUCAUGAUGUGUUUGAUUGACGGCUGCAAAUAAACACACGAGUCAUGCUC